rnacentral:rRNA from 1 species
CCUACGGGUGGCAGCAGUGAGGAAUAUUGGUCAAUGGACGCAAGUCUGAACCAGCCAUGCCGCGUGCAGGAAGACUGCUCUAUGAGUUGUAAACUUCUUUUGUACGAGGAUAAACGCAGAUACGCGUAUCUGUCUGAAAGUAUCUUACGAAUAAGGAUCGGCUAACUCCGUGCCAGCAGCCGCGGUAAUACGGAGGAUCCGAGCGUUAUCCGGAUUUAUUGGGUUUAAAGGGUGCGUAGGCGGUCUGUUAAGUCAGUGGUGAAAGCCUGCGGCUCAACUUCGAAAUUGCAAUUGAUACUGUCAGUCUAGAGAGCAGUUGAGGUAGGCGGAAUGCAUGGUGUAGCGGUGAAAUGCUUAGAGAUCACAAAGAACACCGAUUGCGAAGGCAGCUUACCAAGCUACCACUGACGUUGAGGCACGAAAGUGUGGGGAGCAAACAGGAUUAGAUACCCGUGUAGUC